rnacentral:rRNA from 1 species
UGCCGCGUGAGUGAUGAAGGUCUUAGGAUCGUAAAGCUCUUUCGCCAGGGAUGAUAAUGACAGUAUCUGGUAAAGAAACCCCGGCUAACUCCGUGCCAGCAGCCGCGGUAA